AUACGUAGGUGACAAGCGUUAUCCGGCUUUACUGGGUGUAAAGGGCGUGUAGGCGGUUUAGCAAGUCAGAAGUGAAAUUCCCGGGCUUAACUUGGGCGCUGCUUCUGAAACUGCUUUACUUGAGUGCUGGAGAGGAUAGUGGAAUUCCUAGUGUAGCGGUAAAAUGCGCAGAUAUUAGGAGGAACACCGGUGGCGAAGGCGGCUACCUGGACAGUAACUGACGCUGAGGCGCGAAAGCACGGGGAGCAAACAGGAUUAGAUACCCUGGUAGUCCGUGCCGUAAACGAUGAAUACUAGGUGUAGGGGGUAUCGACUCCCUCUGUGCCGCAGUUAACACAUUAAGUAUUCCACCUGGGGAGUACGGCCGCAAGGUUGAAACUCAAAGGAAUUGACGGGG
rnacentral:rRNA from 1 species